AAGACCCUGAUGCUGGGAAAGAUUGAAGGCAGGAGGAGAAGGGGACGAUAGAGGACGAGAAGGUUGGAUGCCAUCGCCAACUCCACAGACAUGAGUUUGAGUAACCUCUGGGAGUUGGCAAUGGACAGGGAAGCCUGGCGUGCUGCAGUCCAUGGGGUCACAAAGAGCCAGAAAUGACUGAGCGACUGAACUAAAAGCCUUUGGGGAACAUUUGGCAGAAAACAACUAAAUUCUGUAAAGAAAUUAUCCUUCAAUUAAAAAAAAAUCAGAAAAAAAAAAAAAAAAGCCUUUGGGGCCUCUGAGUCCUUUAAGCACAAGCUGCCUGAACUUCUGGCCAGGUCCUAUAAUAAAUGCUGAACUUUUCUUUCCAACACCCUGGCAUCAAUAGGUUGGCUUUUUUUUUUAAUUGGAGAAUAAUUGCUUUACAGUGUUGUGUUGGUUUCUGCAAUACAGCAACAUGAAUCAACCACAAGUAUACCUAUGUCCCAUCCCUCUUGAACCCCUCCCCCACCCCUCUAGGUUGUCACAGAGUACCGAGUUGAGCUCCCAGUGUGGCCUGAUUGAUUCCCCCACUCCUACCCCAGCAGACCCUAGUUUGGUUUGGUGACAGCUGGUGCAGGUACUAAAUUAAUCUUCACAAAUGCCAGGGAAGGAGAGUUUAGAACCCCCAUUUGAUCUAAGCAACCGAGGUUUUACAAGGUUAACCAACUGGCCCACGAUACUUAGACGCUCAGUGGUGGACUGAGACACCGGUCCCAAGUGUGACUGCAGAGCUCAGCUUUUGGAAAAGACCACCGCAAGGACAGAGUCGUGGGGACAAGAAGAAACUGUAGAAAUACAGUGAGGUGGAAAGAGUGCUGGACUUGGAGUCUCAGGACAAGCUUCAUCCUCUGCGAAGGCCAGUGCCUUGCUGCUGCUCCAUAGCCUGGAGACACCACUCACCAUCACCGUCUUGAAGGGUGAACUGAGGAAGGGGUCAGAGUCACCCUCACCUCUGUCCCCAGCCCUGGCCUGUGCCACCUCUGAUGCACUUGGUUUCAAAAUAAGAAAGAAUGCCAUUGUAAUAAGCCACUUCAAAGCAUGAUGCCUCUGGAGAUAUGAAUUAAAUAUUUUUCGAGCAAUUAGGCCCUGUGGAGAAUGGAAUGACCACUGCUGUUCCUAGAAUAAUAUGAAGAGGGUCACAGAGGACAAGAACAGGAAGACAGGCCCGUGAUGCUGGCCUGUGCCCUCAGCUCCUACCCUGGCCCUCCCGCCUUGCUGUGUGGGCGGCGUGGCUGGUAGAGACAGGCCACCCAGGAGUGGACUCCGUGUGUGCAUCUUCAGAACUGAUCUGACCUCCAGUUGGGUUUAAACACCACUGAGCCAGAAGACCAACAGCCUUUGCCAGCUGAGUGCGAGCAUAUGUUGAUGCUCAAAAGUUUAGAAUUUCUGCAUUUGGUGUAAAGUCAGGAAUCAUCACUUUGAUGUUUUCUUUUUUUUGCUGCCUCUCAGGCCUCUCCUUUUCAGUUCCUCUUGCUCCCCUUCUUUCCUUCCCUUUUCUUUUUUAGCCUGCCUCACAUCCUCCUUGCUCAGACAUUGGAUUUUCUUGGGAUUCUCAUUCAUACUAUUCCAUUCAUGGUAUCCAGGGUUAAUAUAAUUUCUGAUCUCAGGGUUAGAGCCAUUAAAUUGGAAACUUAAUGUUCUUGGGCCACUAGAAGGAUGUUGGUCCC